UUUCACCAUAGCAACUCAUAUAGUUCUCAAUCAUAAACUCAUCAAUCUUGACAAAUAUAUAAUUCAGAAGUUCUUGAAUCGACAAUAUUUUAAAGAGGUAGGGUUUCAUAUAUUUUUGCUCAAAAUUCUUGUUGCAAAUUUCCUUAGAUCAGAUAUUCAAUAUUACAAGUCAAUGAAGCUGUUUCUUGUAGCAGAGUUUGAACACUCU
rnacentral:lncRNA from 1 species